UGUAGUCUGCAACUCGACUACAUGAAGCUGGAAUCGCUAGUAAUCGCAGAUCAGAAUGCUGCGGUGAAUACGUUCCCGGGUCUUGUACACACCGCCCGUCACACCAUGGGAGUCGGAAAUGCCCGAAGCCGGUGACCAAACCAAUAAGGAAGGAGCCGUCGAAGGCAGGUCUGAUAACUGGGGUGAAGUCGUAACAAGGUAGC
rnacentral:rRNA from 1 species